rnacentral:lncRNA from 1 species
AUAGCUCACUGCAGCUUCAAACUCCUGGGCUCAGGGAGGCUCCUUCUGCCUCAGCCUCUUGAGUAGCAGGAACUACAGGCAUGUGCCAAUGUGCCACAGUGCUUUGCGAAUUUUCUUUCCUUUUUUUUUUUUUUUUUUNUCAGAGAUGGAGUCUUUCUGUGUUUCUCAGGCUGGUUUCAAACUCCUGGCCUCAUACAAUCCUCCUGCCUCAGCCUCUAGACUAGCCAGAUUGCAAGCACAAACUACCAAGCCCUGAUCAAGUGUGUAUCUUCUACAGCCAGUCCUCCAUCUCAUUUGGAUUUUUCUGACUUUAUGAGAUAUUUUCUUAGCUGCCCUGACUCCAGUUUUCCCUGUUUCCAGAAGAGUUUUACAUAGGACAUUCAAUGUCUUGUAACACUAACCUCCCCCUCCAAGGCAGCACAGCACAAAGGCUGUGAGAUAGCUCAAGUGCCACUUCUAUCUGAAAGCCACUCCAUGAUCAUCCCUGUCGGAGACCAUCUAGGCCUCCUUGAAAAUUGUAUUGCUCUUUGUUACUGUCCUAUGGGACUUAUGGACUAUGUGACAAGAAUGUCACAUUUUUGUUCCAUUUUUUGUUUUCCUAAAUUUUAAGCUCAUUGCUAGAAAUGUACAGAAAUCUCUUCCACAGUAGGUUGGCUGACUUAUGCAAAGCAACCAUAGUAGUCGUCCAGGAAAAUGAAUAAAACAAAACAAAGCAACCGUGUCUCCAAAAUGGACAUUCUGUAAACUCUCAUUGAUUGAAAAACAUUUCUUA